CAGAUGAACGGUUUGGAUCACCCAAAAAUCAUGCCCUGUGCCUGAUUUCGCAGGGAGCUCAGGAUAAAUCUAACUUUUCCAUGUGGCCCACAAAAUUUUACAUGUCGGAAAGUAGUCCUCAAUAUCUUUCAAAAAGAAAAAGAAAAAGAAA